UUUCUGUCAGCUCAUAAUACAAACUAUGAAGUGUUAAACAUGGAUCUAAUUGUUUUAUUUUAAUGCACUGCCAAAAAAGUGAAAUGUUCAAUAACGACACCACCACGGCUAUCACUCAGGAGACUGAAAUUAGAAGAGCUGAAGAUGUCCAAUCCCUCCUAGUGUACUGUUUGAGUGUGGUUCUGGCACUAUCCAUCCUUGGGCUCCUUGGUCUCCUUGUUUUGUCUUCCCAAGUGCGCAGCCUAAACCUAAAGCUCUUGUCUGCCUGCAAAGGAUGAUGAUGAACAGAGUCCCUAUUAUGCUGCUGUGAGUCUAAGGAAUGGAAGUGGACAACAGAAUCAAGAGGACCCAGACGGUGAUUGUAUGUACACCAAAGUAAGAGGCAGAAAAGAGCCAAUGUCCAAAGCAAGAAACCAACAACUCAUGACGGAUUCAACCCUGUGUGAAUGAUGAAAACCCCCUAAAAUAAUUUCCUCAGCAAUGUCUGCAAACCUCACUCAUGUGGUGACUGUUUGGCCCUCCACUGUUGUGGUAAAGUUGUUGCUUUUGCAAAACAGAAGUUUCCACUGGUGGAAACAGAACUAAAACGUGAAGUGUUGGCAUGCAGUCCACUUUAACCUGCUGUCACAGGUUAAUCUUGCAGUACCUGCUGUAUGACUA